CUGGCGGCAGGCCUAACACAUGCAAGUCGAGCGGUAGAGAGAAGCUUGCUUCUCUUGAGAGCGGCGGACGGGUGAGUAAUGCCUAGGAAUCUGCCUGGUAGUGGGGGAUAACGUUCGGAAACGGACGCUAAUACCGCAUACGUCCUACGGGAGAAAGCAGGGGACCUUCGGGCCUUGCGCUAUCAGAUGAGCCUAGGUCGGAUUAGCUAGUUGGUGAGGUAAUGGCUCACCAAGGCGACGAUCCGUAACUGGUCUGAGAGGAUGAUCAGUCACACUGGAACUGAGGCACGGUCCAGACUCCUACGGGAGGCAGCAGUGGGGAAUAUUGGACAAUGGGCGAAAGCCUGAUCCAGCCAUGCCGCGUGUGUGAAGAAGGUCUUCGGAUUGUAAAGCACUUUAAGUUGGGAGGAAGGGUUGUAGAUUAAUACUCUGCAAUUUUGACGUUACCGACAGAAUAAGCACCGGCUAACUCUGUGCCAGCAGCCGCGGUAAUACAGAGGGUGCAAGCGUUAAUCGGAAUUACUGGGCGUAAAGCGCGCGUAGGUGGUUUGUUAAGUUGGAUGUGAAAUCCCCGGGCUCAACCUGGGAACUGCAUUCAAAACUGACUGACUAGAGUAUGGUAGAGGGUGGUGGAAUUUCCUGUGUAGCGGUGAAAUGCGUAGAUAUAGGAAGGAACACCAGUGGCGAAGGCGACCACCUGGACUAAUACUGACACUGAGGUGCGAAAGCGU
rnacentral:rRNA from 1 species